rnacentral:rRNA from 1 species
AGAGUUUGAUCAUGGCUCAGGAUGAACGCUAGCUACAGGCUUAACACAUGCAAGUCGAGGGGAAACGACAUCGAAAGCUUGCUUUUGAUGGGCGUCGACCGGCGCACGGGUGAGUAACGCGUAUCCAACCUGCCCACCACUUGGGGAUAACCUUGCGAAAGUAAGACUAAUACCCAAUGACGUCUCUAGAAGACAUCUGAAGGAGAUUAAAGAUUUAUCGGUGAUGGAUGGGGAUGCGUCUGAUUAGCUUGUUGGCGGGGUAACGGCCACCAAGGCGACGAUCAGUAGGGGUUCUGAGAGGAAGGUCCCCCAGAUUGGAACUGAGACACGGUCCAAACUCCUAAAACGGGGNGGCA